rnacentral:rRNA from 1 species
AUACGGAGGGUCCGAGCGUUAUCCGGAAUUAUUGGGUUUAAAGGGUCCGUAGGCGGGCCAUUAAGUCAGGGGUGAAAGUCUGCGGCUCAACCGUAGAAUUGCCUUUGAUACUGAUGGUCUUGAGUUAUAGUGAAGUUGGCGGAAUAUGUAGUGUAGCGGUGAAAUGCAUAGAUAUUACAUAGAACACCGAUUGCGAAGGCAGCUGACUAACUAUAUACUGACGCUGAGGGACGAAAGCGUGGGGAGCGAACAGGAUUAGAAACCCUAGUAGUCC